GUUUACCGUGAAAAAAUUAGAGUGUUCAAAGCAGGCAGAUCCAAUUUUCUGCCACCGAAUACAUUAGCAUGGGAUAAUGGAAUAGGACCCUGUCCUCCUAUUUUCAGUUGGUUUUGGCAGCGCGAGGACUAGGGUAAUGAUUAAUAGGGAUAGUUGGGGGCAUUAAUAUUUAAUUGUCAGAGGUGAAAUUCUUGGAUUUAUGAAAGAUUAACUUCUGCGAAAGCAUCUGCCAAGGAUGUUUUCAUUAAUCAAGAACGAAAGUUAGGGGAUCGAAGACGAUCAGAUACCGUCGUAGUCUUAACCAUAAACGAUGCCGACCAGCGAUUAGGAGACGUUGAAUACAAAACACCACCAUCGGUGCGGUCGUCCUUGGCGUCGGUCUUUCGGGGCCGGCGCGGGGACGGCUUAGCCCGGUGGCACCGGUGAAUGACUCCCUAGCA
rnacentral:rRNA from 1 species